UACGUAGGGGGCGAGCGUUAUCCGGAAUUAUUGGGCGUAAAGGGUGCGUAGGCGGCCAUUUAAGUCAGGUGUGAAAGGUUACGGCUCAACCGUAAUUAGCACAUGAAACUGGGUGGCUUGAGUGCAGGAGAGGAGAGUGGAAUUCCUAGUGUAGCGGUGAAAUGCGUAGAUAUUAGGAGGAACACCAGUGGCGAAGGCGACUCUCUGGACUGUAACUGACGCUGAGGCACGAGAGCGUGGGGAGCGAACAGG
rnacentral:rRNA from 1 species